rnacentral:lncRNA from 1 species
AGAGGAGUUCUUGGCACCAGCACUGGGCCAGCUGUGAGUUUAUCUGUGGUAUCUGGCUUUCAAAGUAGUGUUCCCUGCAGUCUGCCUAAAAGAAAGAGAUGAUCAAGAUGAACGAAGAGGUAAUGUUCACCCCGACUGCUGUGUAGAAAGGCUAGCAUGAUGUGCAAGCAUCAUGCUGAUUUUCACAAGAUUAAAAAAUCCAAAACAUAAGAAAACAAAACCACAGCAUCAUCUGAUACUUGACAAAGAUGCCAAAAACAUCCACUAAAGGGAAGACAGCUCCUUCAACAAAUGGUGUUGGAAAAGCUGCACAUCCACAUGUAUGAGAAUCAAAUUAGACAGACAUAUCUGUGAGUUUAUACAAACACUAACCCCAAGUGGACCCAAGACCUCAGUGUGAAAGCUUGAAGCCGAGCAAUUUUAGAAGAAUAUGUAAACAAUACUUUACAAGACAUAGGUGAAGGAAAUGACUUUCUGAAAAGGUCUCCAUUAGCCCAGGAACUAAGGCCAAGAAUUGACAAGUGGGACCUCAUAAAACCAAAAGGCUUUUGCACAGCUAGGGAAACAACCAAUUGGGUAAAAAGGAAGCUCACAGAGGGGGGUAUGGGAUCUAUGCCACCUGUACAUCUGACAGAUGAUUAUGAUGCAUAAAUAUACAAAGAAAUCAUAA